rnacentral:rRNA from 1 species
ACUCCUACGGGAGGCAGCAGUAGGGAAUCUUCCGCAAUGGACGAAAGUCUGACGGAGCAACGCCGCGUGAGUGAUGAAGGUUUUCGGAUCGUAAAGCUCUGUUGUUAGGGAAGAACAAGUGCCGUUCAAAUAGGGCGGCACCUUGACGGUACCUAACCAGAAAGCCACGGCUAACUACGUGCCAGCAGCCGCGGUAAUACGUAGGUGGCAAGCGUUGUCCGGAAUUAUUGGGCGUAAAGGGCUCGCAGGCGGUUUCUUAAGUCUGAUGUGAAAGCCCCCGGCUCAACCGGGGAGGGUCAUUGGAAACUGGGGAACUUGAGUGCAGAAGAGGAGAGUGGAAUUCCACGUGUAGCGGUGAAAUGCGUAGAGAUGUGGAGGAACACCAGUGGCGAAGGCGACUCUCUGGUCUGUAACUGACGCUGAGGAGCGAAAGCGUGGGGAGCGAACAGGAUUAGAUACCCUGGUAGUCCACGCCGUAAACGAUGAGUGCUAAGUGUUAGGGGGUUUCCGCCCCUUAGUGCUGCAGCUAACGCAUUAAGCACUCCGCCUGGGGAGUACGGUCGCAAGACUGAAACUCAAAGGAAUUGACGGGGGCCCGCACAAGCGGUGGAGCAUGUGGUUUAAUUCGAAGCAACGCGAAGAACCUUACCAGGUCUUGACAUCCUCUGACAAUCCUAGAGAUAGGACGUCCCCUUCGGGGGCAGAGUGACAGGUGGUGCAUGGUUGUCGUCAGCUCGUGUCGUGAGAUGUUGGGUUAAGUCCCGCAACGAGCGCAA